rnacentral:lncRNA from 1 species
AGUAGAGGUCACUCAAGUGACAUAAAUGACAGCAAAAACAGAUGCUUUUGGAGAAAUUGCAGUACCAUGAGUUAGUUCUAAAAAUGUAUAGUUGAUUUGGCUUUACCACGAAUUAGCAUUGGAGUUUUUUGCAGUGCUGCCAUUUACUUUCCACUCAAGGAUUACUCCAGCAGAGGCAACCAUGGUACUGUUGGCGAGAGAAGCACAUGCUGGCUAAUCUACAGUACACCAAGACAAGGACCUGAGCCCUAGGACCAUGCCUCAGGACUACCUGGCAUGAUGACUCCUUGCUGUCCCCAGUCCACCUGGCCGUGCUGCUGCUCCAGUUUCAACUGUUCUGCCUAUGGAACCCUGACCUGUUCACCGGACGUGCUACCUGUCCCAGACCUGCUCUUUUCAACUCUUUAGAGACAGCAGGAGCGGUAGAGAUACUCUCAAAGAUUGGCUAUGAAAAAGCCAACUGACACUUACUCUUGAGUUGCUGACUUGUUGCACCCUUGACAACUACUAUGAUUAUUUGACCAUGCUGGUCAUUUAUGAACAUUUGAACAUCUUGGCCAUGUGCUCUUAUAAUCUCUACCCCGGCACAGCCAGAAGAGGACUGGCCACCCCUCAUAGCCUGGUUCCUCUCUAGGUUUCUUCCUAGGUUUUGGUCUUUCUAGGGAGUUUUUCCUAGCUACCGUGCUUCUACACCUGC